rnacentral:rRNA from 1 species
UAAAGAAAGCGUAAUAGCUCACUAGUCGAGUCGGCCUGCGCGGAAGAUGUAACGGGGCUAAGCAAUAUACCGAAGCUGCGGCAGCAUGUUUACAUGCUGGGUAGGGGAGCGUUGUGUAAGUGGAUGAAGGUGAGUUGUAAAGCUUGCUGGACAUAUCACAAGUGCGAAUGCUGACAUGAGUAACGAUAAUGGGAGUGAAAAACUCCCACGCCGGAAGACCAAGGUUUCCUGUCCCAUGCUAAUCAGGGCAGGGUAAGUCGGCCCCUAAGGCGAGGCAGAAAUGCGUAGUCGAUGGGAAACGGGUUAAUAUUCCCGUACUUAUAUAAUCAGUGAUGGAGGGACGGAGAAGGCUAGGCAAGCUUGGCGUUGGUUGUCCAAGUGAAAGCGAGUAGGCCGAGAACUUAGGUAAAUCCGGGUUCUUAAAGCUGAGACGCGAGACGAGCCACUACGGUGGUGAAGUUGUUGAUGCCCUGCUUCCAGGAAAAGCUUCUAAACUUAUGAUUAUAUGAACCGUACCCCAAACCGACACAGGUGGUCAGGUAGAGAAUACUAAGGCGCUUGAGAGAACUCGGGUGAAGGAACUCGGCAAAAUUGUACCGUAACUUCGGGAGAAGGUACGCCCCUGUUUGUGAACACUUUACGUGGUAAGCAGAUGGGGGCCGCAGUGACCAGGUGGCUGGGACUGUUUAUUAAAAACACAGCACUCUGCAAACUCGUAAGAGGACGUAUAGGGUGUGACACCUGCCCGGUGCCGGAAGGUUAAUUGAUGGGGUUAGCGUAAGCGAAGCUCUUGAUCGAAGCCCCGGUAAACGGCGGCCGUAACAAUAACGGUCCUAAGGUAGCGAAAUUCCUUGUCGGGUAAGUUCCGACCUGCACGAAUGGUGUAACCAUGGCCACGCUGUCUCCACCCGAGACUCAGUGAAAUUGAAAUCGCCGUGAAGAUGCGGUGUAUCCGCGGCUAGACGGAAAGACCCCGUGAACCUUUACUAUAGCUUCACAGUGAACUUUGAGCAUGUUUGUGUAGGAUAGCUGGGAGGCUUUGAAGUGGGAACGCCAGUUCUCAUGGAGCCAACCUUGAAAUACCAGCCUGACAUGUUUGAGGUUCUAACUUGGUCCCCUUAUCGGGGAUGAGGACACUGUGUGGUGGGUAGUUUGACUGGGGCGGUCUCCUCCCAAAGCGUAACGGAGGAGCACAAAGGUGGGCUAAGCAUGGUCGGACAUCAUGCGGUUAGUGUAAUGGCACAAGCCCGCUUAACUGCGAGACAGACACGUCGAGCAGGUACGAAAGUAGGUCAUAGUGAUCCGGUGGUUCUGUAUGGAAGGGCCAUCGCUCAACGGAUAAAAGGUACUCCGGGGAUAACAGGCUGAUACCGCCCAAGAGUUCACAUCGACGGCGGUGUUUGGCACCUCGAUGUCGGCUCAUCACAUCCUGGGGCUGAAGCCGGUCCCAAGGGUAUGGCUGUUCGCCAUUUAAAGUGGUACGCGAGCUGGGUUUAGAACGUCGUGAGACAGUUCGGUCCCUAUCUGCCGUGGACGUUGGAGAUUUGAGGAAAGCUGCUCCUAGUACGAGAGGACCGGAGUGGACGAACCUCUGGUGUUCGGGUUGUGACGCCAGUCGCAUUGCCCGGUAGCUAUGUUCGGACAGGAUAACCGCUGAAAGCAUCUAAGCGGGAAGCCCCUUCCAAGAUGAGAUCUCCCUGGACCCUCGAGGUCCCUGAAGAGCCGUUCAAGACCAGGACGUUGAUAGGUCGGGUGUGUAAGCGCUGCGAGGCGUUGAGCUAACCGAUACUAAUUGCUCGUGCGGCUUGAC